rnacentral:lncRNA from 1 species
CGAAAAGCACCCUACCCUCCUCAUUCUUCUUCCCCAUUUCAAACCCUCAGAGAGACCAGAACCCCAAAACCCUAGCCGCCUCUAGGCAAUUUGCAGCAGAAACCCGGCGGCAACGACGCCGCCAGUCACCCCGUUAACACCACAGAACCCCCAUCACACCCUAAAGCCAAAUCCACUAACCCCUAAACUCGAAUCAAACAGAACCUUCUUGAAUCCAAACUAGUCUUGGUUAGGAGCUAUGAGUCCAAAUUACAAG